CGCGCGCCCGCCCGCGGCGCCGGCGGAGCGAACAUGGCCCAGGUUGCGCGGGCGCUGUGGCCGGUCCCGCACGCUCUGGCCUGGAGGCUGGGCGGUCGCCUCCAGUCGGCACUCCCCGCUCAGAGCCGGGCCGGCUUCGCAGGAGCGGCAGGAGGCCCGGGUCCCGCUGCUACCGCCCGCAAGGGGAGCCCGCGGCUGCUGGGGGCGGCGGCGCUGGCCCUGGGGGGCGUCCUGGGGCUGUACCACACGGCGCGGUGGCACCUGCGCGCCCAGGACCUCCGCGCAGAGCGCUCUGCCGCGCAGCUCUCCCUGUCCAGCCGCCUGCAGCUGACCCUGUACCAGUACAAAACGUGUCCCUUCUGCAGCAAGGUCCGCGCCUUCCUCGACUUCCACGCCCUGCCCUACCAGGUGGUGGAAGUGAACCCCGUGCGCAGGGCCGAGAUCAAGUUCUCCUCCUACAGGAAGGUGCCCAUCCUGCUGGCCCAGGAAGGAGAGAGCUUGCAACAACUGAACGAUUCCUCUGUCAUCAUCAGCGCUCUCAAGACCUAUCUGGUGUCGGGGCAGCCCCUGGAAGACAUCAUCACCUACUAUCCACCCAUGAAGGCCGUGAACGACCAGGGCAAGGAGGUGACCGAAUUCUGCAACAAGUAUUGGCUCAUGCUAGAUGAGAAGGAGGCCCAGCGAAUGUAUGGCGGGAAGGAGGCGAGGACGGAGGAGAUGAAGUGGCGGCAGUGGGCAGAUGACUGGCUGGUGCACCUGAUCUCCCCCAACGUGUACCGCACUCCUGCUGAGGCCCUGGCCUCCUUCGACUACAUUGUCAGGGAGGGCAAGUUCGGGACAGUGGAGGGUGCCGUGGCCAAGUACAUGGGUGCAGCUGCUAUGUACCUCAUCAGCAAGAGGCUUAAGAGCAGGCACCACCUCCAGGAUGACGUUCGUGAGGACCUCUAUGAGGCUGCCAACAAGUGGGUGGCAGCCGUGGGCAAAGACCGGCCCUUCAUGGGGGGCCAGCAGCCAAAUCUGGCUGAUCUGGCAGUAUACGGCGUGCUGCGUGUGAUGGAGGGCCUGGAGGCUUUUGACGACCUGAUGCGUCACACCCACAUCCAGCCCUGGUACCUGCGGGUAGAGAAAGCCAUUGCUGAGGUCCCCCAGUGACCUGAGUGUCCCAGGAGGGGUGCGAGACAGCAGAAGACACCAGCUGCCAGGACCAGGACCAUGGGGUCAGCACCUGGUGAUGCUGUGCAGUGGGGGACAGGAUCGUUCUGCAUCUUGCCCCCCCCCCACCCUCCCAGCCCCAACGUUCUAGCAUUGGACGCCUGCUGAGGCCGUGGGACGCUGGGGGACAAAACCCAGGUUUGAUUUCUGUUUGUAGUCCCCCUGAGGGGCACCCCAGCCCCAAGGAGCCAGCCCACCCCUGCCUCCCGUCCUGGGCCUCCCUACUUUCAGCCAUUCUCGGGGGCUCUCAGUGGCUGCUGUGUCCACACCUUGUGGGUGGGGAUUGGGUCGGGCUCCUGCCCUGGACGGGGGAAGUGGGAAUAGUCCGGUUCACAGAGGAUUUCAUCCCUGGCUCCUCUUGGCUCCUGCCCUUCCCAAGUGCCCCCAAGACUCUGUGUCAUGUUGGCAAUAAAGAAAAGGUUUGCGGCUGUCGUGGAGAUCUGUGGUGAAAUGCUGCGUGGGAGGCUUCAGAAGGAGGCCGUGUCCAGCCCUGGUGGUAACUGCUAUCUGUCCAGUGCCUUCUAGGUGUCAGUCCUGGGGUGAAGGACUUAGCAGGCUUUGUGUCCCAUAAACCCUGGCAUGCCACCACAGGGUAAGCAGCAGGGAGGCUUGAGGUGUCCCAGGGCACGGGUCCAGCUCUGCCCCUCGCCGACUGUGGGACUUGGGGCAGUGGCGCCCCUCCCUGAGCCUCAGUGUCCUCAUCUGUCGAGUGAGCAUAAUGAUAGUCUCCACCUCGAGGGGAGGUGGUGAGGGUUUGAUGGGGAGGUGCAGGUCAAGCGUGGAGAAGGACACCCGGCUCAGAGCAGGGGCUGGACGGAUCUCAUCUUGCUCUACACAUCAGGAGAGAAGGUUCCAAGAACACUGUCCCUUUCAGGGCCCUCUGAGGCAGGUGGGCACCCAGGCUUCAGUCCCAGGCCUG